AGCAGCAGUGGGGAUAUUGCACAAUGGGGGAAACCCUGAUGCAGCCAUGCCGCGUGUGUGAAGAAGGCCUUCGGGUUGUAAAGCACUUUCAGUAGGGAGGAAAGGGUGUAAUUUAAUACGUUGUAUCUGUGACGUUACCUACAGAAGAAGGACCGGCUAACUCCGUGCCAGCAGCCGCGGUAAUACGGAGGGUCCGAGCGUUAAUCGGAAUUACUGGGCGUAAAGCGUGCGCAGGCGGUUUGUUAAGCGAGAUGUGAAAGCCCUGGGCUCAACCUAGGAAUAGCAUUUCGAACUGGCGAACUAGAGUCUUGUAGAGGGGGGUAGAAUUCCAGGUGUAGCGGUGAAAUGCGUAGAGAUCUGGAGGAAUACCGGUGGCGAAGGCGGCCCCCUGGACAAAGACUGACGCUCAUGCACGAAAGCGUGGGGAGCAAACAGGAUUAGAUACCCUGGUAGUCCACGCCGUAAACGAUGUCUACUCGGAGUUUGGUGUCUUGAACACUGGGCUCUCAAGCUAACGCAUUAAGUAGACCGCCUGGGGAGUACGGCCGCAAGGUUAAAACUCAAAUGAAUUGACGGGGCCCCC
rnacentral:rRNA from 1 species